rnacentral:rRNA from 1 species
AGUGAACGCUGGCGGUAGGCCUAACACAUGCAAGUCGAACGGCAGCACAGGAGAGCUUGCUCUCUGGGUGGCGAGUGGCGGACGGGUGAGGAAUACAUCGGAAUCUACUCUGUCGUGGGGGAUAACGUGGGGAAACUUACGCUAAUACCGCAUACGACCUACGGGUGAAAGCAGGGGACCUUCGGGCCUUGCGCGAUUGAAUGAGCCGAUGUCGGAUUAGCUAGUUGGCGGGGUAAAGGCCCACCAAGGCGACGAUCCGUAGCUGGUCUGAGAGGAUGAUCAGCCACACUGGAACUGAGACACGGUCCAGACUCCUACGGGAGGCAGCAGUGGGGAAUAUUGGACAAUGGGCGCAAGCCUGAUCCAGCCAUACCGCGUGGGUGAAGAAGGCCUUCGGGCUGUAAAGCCCUUUUGUUGGGAAAGAAAUCCAGCUGGCUAAUACCCGGUUGGGAUGACGGCACCCAAAGAAUAAGCACCGGCUAACUUCGUGCCAGCCGCCGCCGUAA